rnacentral:tRNA from 1 species
CCCUGGCUGGCUCAGUGGGAACAGCAUGUGACUCUUGAUCUCAGGGUUGUGAGUUCGAGCCCCACGUUGGGUG